GAGAUGGGUUUCUGGACUCGCGAAGCAGCUGCAACAAGGCAUCACUCACUGUAUAAGUAUUUCCAUUUCUGAGAGCAAAAGGAAGAACUUAAGCGGGCGGCACUUGGAGUGUAAAUUGCUUUGUAGUAUUUAAAGGCAGAAUGGAUCCUGGGCAGCCGAGCUGCAACAAACCGGCAGGACUUCCUGUGAAAUCAUGACCACCAUGUGCUCUUUCAGCCUCUAUCAGUUCCUACCUCUAAGCACCUGAGAGCCAAAGCAAACCACAGGAAACCACAGACUCAAACUAAACGUCAGCUUUUCCCGGCUCUCAAGCCUGCUGGUCCCUGAACUAAAACUCACAUUAUCAACUCUACUGGUUCUUAGGCCUUUGGAGUCAGACUGGAACUACAGCAUUGACUCUUCCGGAACUCCAGCUUACUGACUACAGAUCUUGGAACUUUUCAGCUUCCACAACCAUAAUGAAAGCCAAGCAUAUUCCAUCAUUUCCUAAAACCAAGAUAGAGCACAUAUGGGAACUUGUGAAAUAAGCUUCUUUGGACCUUUUAAGUUGCAUUAUCCCAUAAAAUGUGGUGGAUUCAAUGUUGUAUGGCCUGUAAAACUAAGUAAUGAAGGCUGAUAUGUACCCACCUGGCUCUGUCUUGGGAUCACACAACUUGGGAGCCAAAACAGGUGAGGAUGGGGAGGUGUCAAACAAGACCUAACCUCUCAACAAUCAGCUGGACACUGUUGUGUAAGAAUGUGAAGCUUGGCACUGCUGCAGCCAUCUUGUUCCAGGAAGGGUAAAACCUGAGGUUAGAAGCCAACAUCCUAAUGAUGGCAGAGAAGACAAAGAGAACCAGAGUCUAAAUGACAUUGUUGAGUUAGAUCACUACACUACCUCUAGUCUUCUUUUUAUGUGUGAUAAUAAAUCUCACUUAUACUUAAGCCAUUUGAAGUUGAGUCUAAUGUUCAUUUCAGACCAAAGCAGCUUAACUGACAUGUUCUCCGCUUUGUUACCCUAUCCAGUUGUUUUCAUGCAGGAAAUAAAUCUCAAAUUACCUCA
rnacentral:lncRNA from 1 species